AUAGGAACAUUUAUUAAAACUAAAACUGGAAUAAUACAGAGAAGAUUUGCACUGCCCCUGCACAAGGCUUACAUGAGGAUUCAUGAAGUGUUCCAUAUCUUU
ensembl:snRNA U6 U6 spliceosomal RNA